AACAACCAACCCAUGAUUGCAAUCCAGUUUUAAACCAAUCAAUCAUGUUGGAAUGCCUUUAGAUGGAAAGCACGCCAGAGUUGUUCAACUGCCCACACGGAGUGGCCCCUUGCGGCCCAUCCACCACACUGCACAUAGGUGUUGUGCAGUUAGUAGGUCUGCAUACACGAGGAGAGACGUGAAGUGAUGUGGUAUGAUGCCAAGACGCCCACAGCUGAGGUGUCGGUUGAUGAUGUAUACCCAAGGCUUAUGAUGAGCUCAACAAUUGACACAGACUUAGUUGCCGAACUCACAGUUCAUUUAGGUUGACGUAUGGACAUUAUGGUGUGGCGCCGCAUGGGGUCACAGGUAGCCACGAUGGGCCAGUCCCAUGAACAGAAAAAC
rnacentral:lncRNA from 1 species